rnacentral:lncRNA from 1 species
CCUUGCAGGGCCUGCAAUAAAACUUUCUCUGCUCCCAACUCUGACAUUUCAAUUUGUUUGGCCUCACUCUGUGUCAGGCACAUGCACUUGCUCUGACAACUUUGGUGAAGCCAGCCUAGGAGUCUGGGCCUCUGCCAGAUUGGCCCUGGCCACAGCAACAUCUUCCUGACACCUAAGCAGCUGCCAGAGCCCACUUUGCUCUGGGGAUCUUGGACGGACUGUCCCCCCAAAACACCGGCUGCCCACAGUAUGAGGCUAUUUGGAAUGGAGGAAUGUCCAGAGCUGUGGUCCAUGCUCACUGUCAAUUGGGAUUUGGCUUCUUCCUUGAGCAGUCCAUCCAAGACCUUCCUCCUGGAUGUCUUCGUUCAAGAGGACUUACCCGGCAGCUCUGCAUUUUUCAGAUGUCUUGUUUCUUUAUCAAGGGAAGAAAAGCCAAAUUCUAGAGAAAAAUCCAAGGCAGGCUGGUUGGAUGGUGGGAUAUAAAAGAAUAUAUAAUUGAGCAUCCAAGAGGAUUCAUGUUCCUUUGGUUCUGGCUUUUUAUACCAUGUCAGCCCAUUUCCUCCAGCCAUGUUCAAGACCGACUUUCAGAAGCAGGUAGGAGUCCUACUUAGACUCAUAUCUGAGUCAUAGACUCUAACUCAGAUUUCAUAAAAAGGCCCUACUUUGAUGAUAUUUACUUUAUUAUGAUGAUUAUUUUAUUUAUUUAUUUAUUGCCUUUUUUGAGCCACACCUGUGGCAUAUGGAGGUUCCCAUGCUAGAGAUCAAAUAGGAGCUGUAGCCAUCAGCCUACACCAUAGCCAUAGUGACUCGGAUCCAAGCUGUGUCUGUGACCUACACCACAGCUCACGGAAAAGCCAGAUCCUUAACCCACUGAGGGAGGCCAGGGAUCAAACCUGCGGCCUCAUGGAUGCUAAUCAGAUUCAUUUCUGCUGAGCUAUGACAGGAACUCCCAAUUUUUUUUUUUUUUUUUUUUGAGCCGUACCUGCGGCAUAUGGAAGCCCCCAAGCUAGGGGUAAAAUUGAAGCUGUAGCCGCUGGCCUACACCUCAGCCACAGCAACCUCAGAUUCGAGCUGCAUCUGUGACCUACACCGCAGCUCAUGGCAAUGCCAGAUCCUUAACUCACUGCACAAGGCCAGGGACUGAACCCACGUCCUUAUGGAUGCUAACUGGAUCCAUUUCCACUGCACCACAGUGGGAACUCUCUGAUGGUAUUUAAUAUUGGCUCACUUAUAAAUAAAUAAUUGUUUCCCUAGUUCUUCUUUCCCA